rnacentral:lncRNA from 1 species
UAGCAAAUACAUGGCCACUUCCCUAUGACUGAUGCUGUAGGCAGGCCCUCCCUCUGCAGGGUGACUUGGGAUCUUGUUGCUCUUCAUCUUCCUUGAUGGAAUAUUUCUGUCAGCUCUGUGCAGGAUGGCUCCUCUGGCCUCCUGAAGCAGCAGCAGAGGAAUUCAGUCUGAAAAACGGGGAUCUGAUCUCUUUAGGCCUCAUCUGGGAGCUGAAAUGUUUCUAAGAAUAACACAAGAUUACAUCCGGUAUUCAUGUCAAUAACAAUUAGGUUCACAAAGAAGCAGAGCAGGGAAGGAAGUGUGGGAAAAUACCAGUGUUGCUCGUGUGCUGGAACACAGGCAAGUGCAGAAGUGUCUCCUAUUGAGCUUUAGUUGCCAUUGUGAAGGGAUGUUUUAUGCCACGUCGCAUCAGACUUUCAACAGCUGAUGUAGGUUGGUUGCUUUCUAUUGUUUCCUGAGCUUCUUCACACUCAAUUGUGGGUUCCUUCUUGCUUGGUUGCCACAAGAAUUGAAUUGGUCUAUAUUGAUGUGACAAAAUUAAGAUUGCCCCUCUGGAAAACUAUCCUGCCCAACCAAAGUAAGAUUGCCAUGCAAACUUAGAGUUUCCAGAUGUCCUGAAAUCAGUUUUUCUGUCACUGUUUGAGUUGUGUCCCGAGUGUAUCCAGGCCCUUUCACUAUUAAUGAUCUAGAUUUCAAACAAAGAGGGGCCAGGGGAUGUGUGUAGGAGGAUGUGCAGUGGUGGGAAGGAGACAGAGUGUUUUGUAUGGAAUUGGAAGUCUGUAGUCGCAGGAAGGAGCGCAUGGCCAAUUGCACCACAUGCUGCAUGCCUUCUGGCAAGCAUAUGUCUGAGAUGGACCUUCAGAAGAUGUUUCCAAAGUUGUUGGGGGGAGCGUGAGCCUUUUGAACAGAAUUUUGGAAUUCUUAUUUCUUGUUUCAUGAUUUCAAGACUUCCUUCCUUUUAUUGAAAAAGAAGUUUUAGAGUCCCAUGAAUAAAAUGUGCUCUCUGCUCUUGAGAAAUGCACCUCUUCCAAACUACACAGAGCAAGAGUUGUUUGAAAAGUUAGAAUUUAAUGUUUUUUUUUCCUAACUUUCCAACUCGUAUUCCCAUUUUUCUUCCAGCUGGAGAUUUAGCUGAUGAAAUAGCUAUUCUGGAUAAACAAAGAUGGUACAAGACAGAGGGAAGAGUGAGGUGACCAUCAGGAGAGGAUAGAGAAGAUCUCCUUAGGAAUCCAAGGUGCAGUGGGUCCAGAGAGUAAGAGCUGGGUUUUAAUAUCUGUGAAGUCAUCAGACUGCUGGGCAGUGAGGAGCCACUGGUGCUGCUGGGUCUGUCUUGGUUACAUUUCUUAAUAAGCAUUAAAAUAAUAAAAUAUAUUUGUAAAAGUGAGCAUGAGUGUCUUUGUCCAAGGGAGAUCUGUCUAUUUUGUGAACAUUUUAUUAUUCUUUUAUUAGCUUUUUCCAUA